rfam:Naegleria gruberi genomic scaffold NAEGRscaffold_10, whole genome shotgun sequence.
GGUGCGAUGGUCGAGUGGUCUAAGACGACACGUUAAGGUAUUCUAAUACCGUGUUCCGCAAGGGCGUGGGUUCAAAUCCCACUCGCAUCA